GGGUUUAGGGAUAAUUAUUUAGGGUUUAAGAUUAGGAUUUUUAGGUAUAUUACCACUAGGAAAUAUAAGAGCACAAAUUCAGUUGAAAGUAUAUUGUAUAUGGUUUACUUUGGUUAAAACUUCACAUCUUCUAUCUAAAUGUUCAACAUAUACCUAAAGAUCAUGAUCGAUUCUAAACUCGUAAAUUCAAUAAAGUAAACACAUUCAGUUGAUUAUAUAUUCACUUCAAAAUAAUAAUUGGAACUUCAAUAUAACUUUAUAAAGUAUUUCUAUUUCAUUUUUCGAUUUUAGGGUUUGGUCGAGGUAUGGCUGAGUUAUCACCCCAUGAUACGGCUGAGUUAUAUUUACCAUUAUGGCUGAGUUAUAUAAGCAUUUUCCGACUUUAGGGUUUGGUUGAGGUAUGGCUGAGUUAUCACCCCACGAUACGACCGAGUUAUAUUUACCAUUAUGGUUGAGUUAUAUAAGCAUUUUCCGACUUUAGGGUAUGUUUGAGGUAUGGCUGAGUUACACAUAUACAACACGGCUGAAAUAUAUGAGAGAUAAGACUGAGAUUUAUAAGCGAAAGUCAAAUACGUAAUAAAAUUUCACAACUUAAGUUAAGUCAAAUACAACUGUUACACAUAUACGACACGGCUGAAAUAUAUGAGAGAUAAGACUGAGAUUUAUAAGCGAAAGUCAAAUACGUAAUAAAAUUUCACAACUUAAGUUAAGUCAAAUACAACACAAAGUUAUUUUUUUCCCUUCAACAGACUGUUAAGCACAAUAUUUCCUCCUUCAUCGAGGAUUUCUACUGCCAUCUUCACCCGUAAACCAUGAAUAGUUUUAUCGUUUAUCCCAUCAAAAGUUACCCCAAGCGCUAAACAUUCGACAAAAUUCAACGAAUACACCCCCACAAUUGCCAAUUUGGGUGUUUUGUGGAAUAUUUUUUGUC
rnacentral:lncRNA from 1 species